CUGCAUGGCUGUCUCAGCUCGUGUCGUGAGAUGUUGGGUUAAGUCCCGCAACGAGCGCAACCCUUGUCAUUAGUUGCCAUCAUUUAGUUGGGCACUCUAAUGAGACUGCCGGUGACAAACCGGAGGAAGGUGGGGAUGACGUCAAGUCCUCAUGGCCCUUAUGGGUAGGGCUUCACACGUCAUACAAUGGUCGGUACAGAGGGUUGCCAAGCCGCGAGGUGGAGCCAAUCCCUUAAAGCCGAUCGUAGUCCGGAUCGUAGUCUGCAACUCGACUACGUGAAGUCGGAAUCGCUAGUAAUCGCAGAUCAGCAUGCUGCGGUGAAUACGUUCCCGGGUCUU
rnacentral:rRNA from 1 species